AGGAGGUGGAACUGCUUCAAGCUCCAUUUGUCUUCCAGAUUGUCUGGUAUCCAACAAGAUGAGGUUGGUCUCUGUCAGAUUCAGAGCUGCGAAUCGGCAGAAAGGUAUCCAACAAGAUCAGGAUGGUCUCUGUCAGAUUAAGAGCUGCGAAUAGGCAGAAAGGUAUCCAACAAUAUCAGGUUGGUCUCUGUUAGAUUCAGAGCUGCGAAUGGGCAGAAAG